rnacentral:rRNA from 1 species
UACAGGGGGUGCAAGCGUUGCUCGGAAUUAUUGGGCGUAAAGCGCGCGUAGGCGGCUAUCUAAGUCGGAUGUGAAAGCCCCUGGCUUAACUGGGGAAGUGCACCCGAAACUGGGUAGCUAGAGUGCGAAAGAGGGUCGCGGAAUUCCCGGUGUAGAGGUGAAAUUCGUAGAUAUCGGGAGGAACACCGGUGGCGAAGGCGGGUCUCUGGGCCGAAAUUGACGCUGAGGAGCGAAAGCGUGGGGAGCAAACAGG